AUACUUACCUGGCAGGGGAGAUACCAUGAUCGCAAAGGUGGUUUUCCCAGGGCGAGGCUUAUCCAUUGCACUUUGGAUGUGCUGACCCCUGCGAUUUCCCCAAAUGUGGGAAACUCGACUGCAUAAUUUGUGGUAUUGAGGGACUGACUUCGCGAUAUCCCCUGG
rnacentral:snRNA from 1 species